rnacentral:rRNA from 1 species
GCUUGUCUCAAAGAUUAAGCCAUGCAUGUCUAAGUAUAAACAAAUCUAUACUGUGAAACUGCGAAUGGCUCAUUAUAUCAGUUAUAGUUUCUUUGAUGGUUCUUACUACUUGGAUAACCGUAGUAAUUCUAGAGCUAAUACAUGCAUGAACCCCCGACUUUUGAAGGGGUGUAUUUAUUAGAUGGAAACCAAUGCGGGGCAACCCGGAAUAUGGUGAAUCAUAAUAACUGUCGUAUCGAGCAAUCGAAGCGCCAUACAAGUUUCUGCCCUAUCAGCUUUGGAUGGUAGGGUAUUGGCCUACCAUGGCUUUAACGGGUAACGGAGAAUUAGGGUUCGAUUCCGGAGAGGGAGCCUGAGAAACGGCUACCACAUCCAAGGAAGGCAGCAGG